AUUGAACGCUGGCGGCAGGCCUAACACAUGCAAGUCGAGCGGAUGAAGGGAGCUUGCUCCUGGCUUCUGCGGCGGACGGGUGAGUAAUGCCUAGGAAUCUGCCUGGUCGUGGGGGCUAACGUCCGGACACGGGCGCUAAUACCGCAUACGUCCUGAGGGUGAAAGUGGGGGAUCUUCGGACCUCACGCUAUCAGCUGAGCCUAGGUCGGAUUAGCUAGUUGGUGGGGUAAAGGCCUACCAAGGCGACGAUCCGUAACUGGUCUGAGAGGAUGAUCAGUCACACUGGAACUGAGACACGGUCCAGACUCCUACGGGAGGCAGCAGUGGGGAAUAUUGGACAAUGGGCGAAAGCCUGAUCCAGCCAUGCCGCGUGUGUGAAGAAGGUCUUCGGAUUGUAAAACACUGUAAGUAGGGAGGAAGAGAAGUAAGUGAAUACCUUGCUGUUUUGACGUUACCAACAGAAUAAGCACCGGCUAACUUCGUG
rnacentral:rRNA from 1 species